UACGUAGGUGGCAAGCGUUGUCCGGAUUUAUUGGGUUUAAAGGGUGCGUAGGCGGUCUUAUAAGUCAGUGCUGAAAUAUCCCGGCUUAACCGGGAGGGUGGCAUUGAUACUGUAGGACUUGAGUAAAGUUGAGGUUGGCGGAAUUGACGGUGUAGCGGUGAAAUGCUUAGAUAUCGUCAAGAACACCUAUAGCGAAGGCAGCUUACUAGGCUGUAACUGACGCUGAGGCACGAAAGUGUGGGGAUCAAACAGGAUUAGAAACCCUAGUAGUCC
rnacentral:rRNA from 1 species